AGAAAAGCGAGUAAGGGCACACGGUGGAUGCCUAGGCAUACAGAGGCGAAGAAGGACGUGUAAAGCUGCGAUAAGCUGCGGGGAGUUGCAUAAGAACUGUGAUCCGUGGAUUUCCGAAUGGGGCAACCCACCUUAAUUUAUUAGGGUACCACGCUUCGGCGUGGGGCAUACCCCCCGAACUGAAACAUCUAAGUAGGGGGAGGAAGAGAAAACAACAGUGAUUCCGCAAGUAGUGGCGAGCGAACGCGGAACAGCCCAAACCGCACCCUACGGGGUGCGGGGUAGUAGGACCUGCAUAAAGCAAGCGCUCUUAAAUCGAAGCUGCCUGGAAAGCAGCGCCACAGAAGGUGAAAGCCCUGUAGGUGUACGGAGCGAUUGUGGGCGGGUAUCCUGAGUAGCGCGAGGCCGGUGAAACCUUGCGUGAACCAGCCGGCACCAUCCGGUAAGGCUAAAUACAUCUGUAUGACCGAUAGUGAACCAGUACCGUGAGGGAAAGGUGAAAAGAACGCCGAGAAGGCGAGUGAAAUAGUACCUGAAACCGUGUGCUUACAAGCGGUCGGAGUCUCAGUUUACUGGGAUGACGGCGUGCCUUUUGUAUAAUGAGCCUACGAGUUACUCCUGUUGUGCGAGGUUAAGCCCCUGAGGGGUGGAGCCGUAGCGAAAGCGAGUCUGAACAGGGCGCGCAGUACAGCGGGGUAGACGCGAAACCAAGUGAUCUAUCCAUGGCCAGGGUGAAGUGGCGGUAAAACGCCAUGGAGGCCCGAACCCGUUGACGUUGAAAAGUCUUGGGAUGAGCUGUGGAUAGGGGUGAAAGGCCAAUCAAACUUGGAGAUAGCUCGUACUCCCCGAAAUAUAUUUAGGUAUAGCGUCUGGUAUUGUCUGUCCGGAGGUAGAGCACUGAUAGGGCUAGGGGGCUUCACCGCCUACCAACCCCUGACAAACUCCGAAUGCCGGCACAGAGCCACCAGGCAGUCAGUCGUGGGGUGAUAACGUCCUGCGGCGAGAGGGGAACAACCCAGACCACCAGCUAAGGCCCCUAAAUAAUGGCUAAGUUGAUCAAAGAAAGUUGAGUUGCUCAGACAACUAGGAGGUUGGCUUAGAAGCAGCCAUUCCUUUAAAGAGUGCGUAAUAGCUCACUAGUCAAGCGACUCGGCGUCGAUAAUAAUCGGGCAUAAGCCAUUUGCCGAAGCUGUGGGAAUGAAUAAUUCGGUAGGGGAGCAUUCCAGUUGCAUCGAAGGUGCUGCCGCGAGGCGUGCUGGAGCGACUGGAAGCGAAACUGUAGGCAUGAGUAACGAUAAGAAGGGUGAAAAACCCUUCCACCGUAAACCCAAGGGUUCCUGAUCAACGCUAAUCGGAUCAGGGUUAGUCGAGACCUAAGGUGUACCCGGUAUAGCCGGGGAAGCUGAUGGCAAAGCGGUUAAAUAUUCCGCUACCUGGGUGAACGUUAGGCUAAGGCGUGACGCAGAAGUGAAACUCCCGCGUGCUGACGAAUGCACGUUAAAGGGCGUAGGCCGGGGGGCAGGCAAAUCCGCCUCCCGUUAAGGCUGAACCCCGACAGUACCCGGAUUCUCACGAUGAAGGGAUAGUGGAGGUAAUCAUGCUGCCAAGAAAAGCGUCGUAGUUUGUUCAACCAGCUCGUACCCCAAACCGACACAGGUGGGUGAGGAGAGUAUCCUAAGGUGCUCGAGUAAUUCAUGGCUAAGGAACUAGGCAAAUUAGAUCCGUAACUUCGGGAGAAGGAUCCCCCUCCUUUGGAGGGGCGCAGUGAAAAGGCCCAAGCGACUGUUUACCAAAAACACAUGUCUCUGCUAAGCCGCAAGGCGAUGUAUAGGGACUGACACCUGCCCGGUGCUGGAAGGUUAAGGAAGGGAGUUAGCCUCGGCGAAGCUCUUAACUGAAGCCCCAGUAAACGGCGGCCGUAACUAUAACGGUCCUAAGGUAGCGAAAUUCCUUGUCGGGUAAGUUC
rnacentral:rRNA from 1 species